CUGAUUAAUAUUCUCACAACUGGGAUGAAGGACCCUUCCCUGUGCUUCUCUGCAGCUGCUUGGCUAACGCUGCAGUUUCCUCCUGCUGGCCAGCAUUCACUGGCAUGGGCUAUGCCCACAGAAGCCCAGGAGGCAGAUUUGUGACUCUGCUUCUCCCACUCCCAGCUACCGUCCAUGAGGCAUGCCAGAGCUGCAACACUGGAAAAGCCAAAGCAUGUCAGUAUCAGAAGUAGGAGCCAGAGGACUGCCAAAUGGAGGCACUCGGUCCUUUCCUGACCACUGUGGUUUCAGAGCAUCUGACUAAAUUUAACAGGCAGGACAAGGAGGACACGCCUAUGCUUGCUGGACUGGAAAAAUUUGAAGAAAGGGAAAGAAGAGGCUUGUAAGCAUUGCUCUACUGCACUGAUUCAACACUUGCAUCAACAAAAUUGAUCCAUUGUUCUUUUUGGUGGAAACCAAAGCUUUUAGAAAGCACUGCUGCAGAAAACAGCUGGAUUUAUACUCAAAGGAAAAAGAAAAGAUGAUUUACUGUAUCUUUGUUUUGGAGGGUUUAGAGGAAUUCAGUGGGCAGGAUCUGUGGUUCCAUAGGGACAAGCCAGCCCUGCCAGUUCUGAAUUAAACCCAACAAAAAUGGGAGCUGCACAUAUUAGUGAGACAGCCAUCAUAUAAAAAUAUGGAUCGGAUGGGUUUCCCUUGUUGUACAUCCAAUUUUAACAAUCCAAGCUUUUUAUUAUUGUUAUUUUAAAAAUCCCAGCUGCACUGUGUUUUCAGGAAAAGAGGAACAGAAACGGCAGCAGCAGGUAUGGCUGGGGCCUUUGCCUUUUAAAUCUUGCCUAUGGUAUGUCGGCACCUCCGCACUGUGCAGCCACUGACAUUAAUAUCUGCUGAAGCUGCUGGAAUCUCCCUUUCAUAAUCCAAGGAAGCCAGAGAGGAUGCUGUUGACCUACAGAUAUGAUAGUAGUGGACAAAGUCUGGACCUUGGAUGUUUGAACAUGUAAGUGGGCUCUCAGGAACAGAGCCCUGCAUUCGAUCAGUGGCACAGACUACAAAUGUCUAUGAACAGUGCUUGUCUGACUGCUGUUUUUCGCCGAGCCAAACAAAACACUAUUGGUGAACUACAAAACAGAUGAACAUGCUCCUAUUUUUUGGCACAUGAAAGGAAACCUGCUUUACCCAGCCACAUCUGUUUCUUUGAUUUAACUCCAUGCUCAUUCCUGUUAGCUUUGGAUGAGUGGUUUGGCAAAUACACUGCAGCCUGCUUCACUGAAAAAAAAAAAGGGCUUCCUGGGGAAAUAAACCCCUGUAUGAGACUUUGAUGUGAAUAUAUUUAACAAAUUAUUUGAUUAACCCCUCCUCCUCACCAGUGACUGCAUUCUGGGGUGGAGCACAAACCUUACAUUAAGGAAUCUGGUUCUUCACAAAUAAAUUGAAGAGGAGACCUUUCUCUCCAGUCACCCUAGAUGCUCUCACAGCAGGAUCAUGAUUGUUCACAAGAUGCUUGCAGAGAAGUAGCAAAUAUAUCCUGCUGGUUUGUAAUGUAAUUCCAGUGCAAAAGGUAAGACUCAAAUGUAGCACAAUUCAUUAAUCUCUAAACCGUGCAAUUGCACAAGCUGCAGGAAAAUUAUAACUUCUGGAGAGAGCACUCAAAAAAAGUGAAAAGAGAGAAGCAGAAAGAAAAUUAGAGUUUCAGAACACAGAGGCUACUAACUUAGAGCAGAAAACCAAAACUAAAAGUAGAACUGGACACAGCAUGCACAUAUCACACACACUUUUUAAAGAUAGAUUGAGGAGAUCAUAAGAGAUGCUCAUAAAAUCUACAUUUAUCCUGUGCUCACAAGCUGGAACUAGUCAAACAAUCAGCUACCAGCUAAAGAUAUGCAGCACUGCUCACAUCACUUUGAUGCUAAA